UAAUUUUCCUAUUUCGAUCACAGGGUUUAGGCACCACUGGCUGUAAGCCCCCCACAAAACCACAAACCAAACGAAAAACCCUGCGCCACCUCUUCCACCAUCAUCAUGGCACGGAUUGCCAGGUCCUCUGCGCCGCGCCUACUCUACACCUUCUUCUCCUCCUCCGUGCCCCCGGCAUCCCCAUCGCCAUCUCCGUCUCCGGCGUCGUCCCUCCUUGCCGGUGCAUUCCACCUGCGGCACUUCUCGUCGGGCAACGCUGCUCGAGCGAGGGCGGCGGCGGCGGACAAGGAGCCAUGGUGGAAGGAGUCCAUGGAGCGGUUACGCAACAUCGGGAUCUCUGCUCACAUCGACUCCGGCAAGACAACUUUGACGGAGCGAGUGCUUUUCUACACUGGUCGUAUCCACGAGAUCCACGAGGUUCGGGGCAGAGACGGCGUCGGCGCCAAGAUGGAUUCCAUGGACUUGGAGGAGGGAGAACGUAUCACUAUCCAGUCUGCUGCUACUUACUGCUCUUGGAAAGACUAUAAGAUUAACAUAAUUGACACACCUGGUCACGUUGAUUUCACCAUUGAAGUUGAGAGGGCUUUGCGUGUCCUUGAUGGUGCUAUUCUUGUACUUUGUAGUGUUGGUGGUGUGCAAAGUCAGUCCAUCACAGUAGAUCGACAAAUGAGAAGAUACGAGGUUCCAAGACUUGCAUUUAUUAACAAGCUUGAUCGGAUGGGAGCAGAUCCAUGGAAAGUUUUAAAUCAGGCACGAUCUAAGCUUCGGCAUCAUAGUGCUGCAAUGCAAGUUCCGAUAGGCUUGGAGGAUGAUUUUGAGGGACUUGUUGAUCUUGUGCAAUUAAAAGCAUACUAUUUUCGGGGUUCUAAUGGUGAAAAAGUUGUCACUGAAGAGGUGCCUGCAGAUAUGGAAGCCUUGGUAGCAGAAAAAAGGCGUGAGCUCAUAGAAGCUGUGUCAGAAGUUGAUGAUCAACUUGCUGAAGCUUUUCUUGGUGAUGAGCCCAUAUCACCUGCUGACCUUCAGGAAGCAAUUCGUAGGGCCACCAUAGCACGGAAGUUUGUACCUGUGUUCAUGGGUAGUGCUUUUAAAAAUAAGGGAGUACAGCCACUUCUGGAUGGUGUACUUAAUUAUUUGCCAUGUCCAAUUGAAGUUAGUAGUUAUGCCCUUGACCAAACAAAGAAUGAGGAAAAGGUUGAGUUGACUGGAAGUCCUGAUGGGCCACUUGUAGCGUUGGCAUUUAAGUUGGAGGAAGGGCGGUUUGGCCAGUUGACAUAUUUAAGAAUUUACGAGGGUGUGAUCCGCAAGGGCGAGUUUAUUAUUAAUGUAAACACCGGCAAGAAGAUCAAGGUUCCUCGCUUAGUUAGGAUGCAUUCUGAUGAGAUGGAGGACAUUCAAGAGGCUCAUGCAGGGCAAAUAGUUGCUGUAUUUGGUGUUGAUUGUGCAUCAGGAGAUACGUUUACUGAUGGAUCAGUUAAAUACACAAUGACUUCCAUGAAUGUUCCUGAACCUGUAAUGUCAUUAGCUGUACAGCCAGUUUCAAAAGAUUCUGGAGGGCAAUUUUCAAAAGCUUUGAAUCGCUUCCAGAAAGAGGAUCCUACAUUCCGUGUUGGUUUAGACCCAGAGAGUGGGCAGACUAUCAUUUCUGGCAUGGGAGAACUACAUUUAGAUAUUUAUGUUGAACGUAUUCGGAGAGAGUAUAAGGUUGAUGCAACUGUUGGAAAGCCCCGUGUAAACUUCAGAGAAACUGUUACACAACGUGCUGAUUUUGAUUAUUUACACAAGAAGCAAUCUGGAGGGCAAGGUCAAUAUGGACGGGUAAUCGGUGAAUUCACUGUGUUUGCAGGUAUAUUGAACCACUUCCGGCAGGAUCACCAACUAAAUUCGAAUUUGAAAACCUCCUUGUUGGGCAAGCUAUUCCAUCAGGUUUUAUCCCUGCAAUUGAAAAAGGUUUUAAGGAGCCGCCAACUCGGGGGCUUUAAUUGGACAUCCUGUCGAAAAUCUUAGAGUUGUCUUGACAGAUGGUGCUGCUCAUGCUGUUGAUUCUAGUGAACUUGCAUUUAAGUUGGCUUCUAUCUAUGCUUUCAGACAGUGCUAUACAGCUUCCAGGCCAGUUAUAUUAGAACCUGUUAUGCUUGUUGAGCUGAAAGUACCAACAGAAUUCCAAGGAGCCGUUGCUGGUGACAUUAACAAGAGAAAAGGUGUUAUUGUUGGCAAUGAUCAGGAAGGAGAUGACUCUAUCAUCACUGCCCAUGUCCCUCUUAACAAUAUGUUUGGGUAUUCUACAGCUCUUCGUUCAAUGACCCAGGGGAAAGGUGAGUUCACAAUGGAAUACAAGGAGCAUUCACCUGUAUCUCAUGAGGUACAGACGCAAUUAAUAAACUCCUACAAGGGCAAGGCGGCCGAAUGAUCAGGUUUCGUCGAAGAACAUGGUCCUAAAACCUGGGACAAUCAUUUUUCAUGGAAGGAAGAAAUUAAAUUGUAUCAAUUAUAUAAGGUAUAUAGGUU